rnacentral:rRNA from 1 species
UACGUAGGUGGCAAGCGUUGUCCGGAAUUAUUGGGCGUAAAGCGCGCGCAGGCGGUCCUUUAAGUCUGAUGUGAAAGCCCACGGCUCAACCGUGGAGGGUCGUUGGAAACUGGGGGGCUUGAGUACAGAAGAGAAGAGUGGAAUUCCACGUGUAGCGGUGAAAUGCGUAGAGAUGUGGAGGAACACCAGUGGCGAAGGCGGCUCACUGGUCCGGUUCUGACGCUGAGGCGCGAAAGCGUGGGGAGCAAACAGG